rnacentral:rRNA from 1 species
UACGUAGGGGGCUAGCGUUGUCCGGAAUCAUUGGGCGUAAAGCGCGUGUAGGCGGCCCGGUAAGUCCGCUGUGAAAGUCCAGGGCUCAACCCUGGGAUGCCGGUGGAUACUGUCGGGCUCGAGUCCGGAAGAGGCGAGUGGAAUUCCUGGUGUAGCGGUGAAAUGCGCAGAUAUCAGGAGGAACACCGAUAGCGAAGGCAGCUCGCUGGGACGGUACUGACGCUAAGGCGCGAAAGCGUGGGGAGCGAACAGG